rnacentral:rRNA from 1 species
AACGAACGCUGGCGGCAUGCCUAACACAUGCAAGUCGAACGAGAUCCUUCGGGGUCUAGUGGCGCACGGGUGCGUAACGCGUGGGAAUCUGCCCUUAGGUUCGGAAUAACAGUUAGAAAUGACUGCUAAUACCGGAUGAUGACGUUAAGUCCAAAGAUUUAUCGCCUGAGGAUGAGCCCGCGUAGGAUUAGCUCGUUGGUGUGGUAAAGGCGCACCAAGGCGACGAUCCUUAGCUGGUCUGAGAGGAUGAUCAGCCACACUGGGACUGAGACACGGCCCAGACUCCUACGGGAGGCAGCAGUGGGGAAUAUUGGACAAUGGGCGCAAGCCUGAUCCAGCAAUGCCGCGUGAGUGAUGAAGGCCUUAGGGUUGUAAAGCUCUUUUACCCGAGAUGAUAAUGACAGUAUCGGGAGAAUAAGCCCCGGCUAACUCCGU